CUCGCACGAAAGGAAGCAGAAGCCGGAUCAAAAGGUUUGUUGAAAACUGAAAGCAAAGACCCGAUUUCCAUUCAGGCAAACAACCUCUGGACCUGAUCUAACGCCAAGUACACCUGUCUCCUAGUCUUCAAACUUGUUUUGUAACUCUAGCUGGACAAUGUGGACAAAGGAACUGGAGAUCUCACUGUUACGAUCAGUGCAGUGACUCUUACAGGGGUCAAACACCCUUACAUCGCUCCAUCCUGCUUUGGCCGUGGUAUGCCUUCCAGCUGGAAAAGAGAUGCAACGAACCGAACUGUUUCAACAGUGUUGCACGAGAACGAAGGUUACAGGAAGAGUCUGUCGUUCUUGGGAAUAAGACGAAACAAGUUAGAAAACAUUGACUUGAGAUCGCACAGGAAAGAAAUGCUUGUCCACUUUUGUCUUAAGUUUGAGAUGGAAGUUUCUUCUGCGUCUGGAAAUAUAUAUCACUUGGCUAACUGCAACGACGGAGUCUGUACGCAUUCUGUGUCCGAAACUAGUAAAUUGCAAUUAUACUGACUAUUACAAUUUGAUUUCAUUUUUUACUUGUUUGCAGCUUAACCCUCUGACAUAUUUUGCAUUUUGAUUUGAUGUUUUGAGUGCUCUAAAUAUUGACAUGACUUGAAUGUAUGUUUGUGACUCUAUAUACUAGUAUGUACCUCUUUUAGUUUGCUCUUUUGCUAUGUUACUCUUUGUAUGAAAAUGUAAUUGUUUGAACACA